CCUACGGGAGUCAGCAGUGAGGAAUAUUGGUCAAUGGACGAGAGUCUGAACCAGCCAAGUAGCGUGAAGGAUGACUGCCCUAUGGGUUGUAAACUUCUUUUAUAUGGGAAUAAAACAGGGUAUGCAUACCCUCUUGUAUGUACCAUAUGAAUAAGGAUCGGCUAACUCCGUGCCAGCAGCCGCGGUAAUACGGAGGAUCCGAGCGUUAUCCGGAUUUAUUGGGUUUAAAGGGAGCGUAGGUGGAUUGUUAAGUCAGUUGUGAAAGUUUGCGGCUCAACCGUAAAAUUGCAGUUGAAACUGGCAGUCUUGAGUACAGUAGAGGUGGGCGGAAUUCGUGGUGUAGCGGUGAAAGGCUUAGAUAUCACGAAGAACUCCGAUUGCGAAGGCAGCUCACUGGACUGCAACUGACACUGAUGCUCGAAAGUGUGGGUAUCAAACAGGAUUAGAUACCCGAGUAGUC
rnacentral:rRNA from 1 species